UGGUGAUGGUGAUGAUGGUGGUGGUGAUGGUGAUGAUGAUGGUGGUGGUGAUGAACAUUAACAACAUCAUCGUCAUCAUCAUCAUCAUCAUAAUCU
rnacentral:pre_miRNA from 1 species